UACGUAGGGUGCAAGCGUUGUCCGGAAUUAUUGGGCGUAAAGAGCUCGUAGGCGGUUUGUCGCGUCGGCUGUGAAAACCUGGGGCUCAACCCCGGGCCUGCAGCCGAUAUGGGCAAACUAGAAUUCGGUAGGGGAGACUGGAAUUCCUGGUGUAGCGGUGAAAUGCGCAGAUAUCAGGAGGAACACCGGUGGCGAAGGCGGGUCUCUGGGCCGAUAUUGACGCUGAGGCACGAAAGCGUGGGGAGCAAACAGG
rnacentral:rRNA from 1 species